UGGCUCACACAACGAUGAAGGACGCAGCGAAUUGCGAUAAGCAUUGUGACUUGCAGACUUCUGCGAAUCAACAGAUUUCUGAACGUAUUAGACACACCACCUCUGCUUGCACGUGGUACUCCCAUUUCAGUGAACC
rnacentral:rRNA from 1 species